UCUACGGGUGGCUGCAGUGGGGAAUAUUGGGCAAUGGGCGCAAGUCUGACCCAGCAACGCCGCGUGAAGGAAGAAGGCUUUCGGGUUGUAAAGUUCUUUUAUUAGGGACGAAGCAAGUGACGGUACCUGAUGAAUAAGCCACGGCUAACUACGUGCCAGCAGCCGCGGUAAUACGUAGGUGGCAAGCGUUAUUCGGAUUUACUGGGUGUAAAGUGCGUGUAGGGGGGGGGGCAAGUCAGAUGUGAAAACUAUGGGCUCAACCCAUGGGCUGCAUUUAAAACUGUACUUCUUGAGUGCAGGAGAGGCAAGCGGAAUUCCGUGUGUAGCGGUGGAAUGCGUAGAUAUACGGAGGAACACCAGUGGCGAAGGCGAAUUGCUGGACAGUAACUGACGCUGAGGCACGAAAGCGUGGGGAGCAAACAGGAUUAGAUACCCGAGUAGUC
rnacentral:rRNA from 1 species